GCCCAGACUCCUACGGGAGGCAGCAGUGAGGAAUAUUGGUCAAUGGUCGGGAGACUGAACCAGCCAAGCCGCGUGAGGGAUGAAGGUACAGAGUAUCGUAAACCUCUUUUGUCAGGGAACAAAGGCGGGGACGUGUCCCCGGAUGAGUGUACCUGAAGAAAAAGCAUCGGCUAACUCCGUGCCAGCAGCCGCGGUAAUACGGAGGAUCCGAGCGUUAUCCGGAUUUAUUGGGUUUAAAGGGAGCGUAGGUGGAUUGUUAAGUCAGUUGUGAAAGUUUGCGGCUCAACCGUAAAAUUGCAGUUGAAACUGGCAGUCUUGAGUACAGUAGAGGUGGGCGGAAUUCGUGGUGUAGCGGCGAAAUGCAUAGAUAUCGCGCAGAACUCCGAUUGCGAAGGCAGCAUGCCGGCUCCACACUGACGCUGAGGCACGAAAGCGUGGGUAUCGAACAGGAUUAGAUACCCGAGUACU
rnacentral:rRNA from 1 species